GACGUAGGUGGCAAGCGUUGUCCGGAUUUACUGGGCGUAAAGAGCGCGCAGGCGGUCGUUCAAGUCGCGUGUGAAAGCCCCCGGCUCAACUGGGGAGGGUCACGCGAUACUGAUCGACUCGAAGGCAGGAGAGGGUAGUGGAAUUCCCGGUGUAGUGGUGAAAUGCGUAGAUAUCGGGAGGAACACCAGUGGCGAAGGCGACUACCUGGCCUGUUCUUGACGCUGAGGCGCGAAAGCUAGGGGAGCAAACAGGGAUUAAGAAACCCUGAGUACGUACCA
rnacentral:rRNA from 1 species